rnacentral:rRNA from 1 species
CCUACGGGAGGCAGCAGUGGGGAAUAUUGGGCAAUGGGCGCAAGCCUGACCCAGCAACGCCGCGUGAAGGAAGAAGGCUUUCGGGUUGUAAACUUCUUUUUUCAGGGACGAAGAAAGUGACGGUACCUGAGGAAUAAGCCACGGCUAACUACGGGCCAGCAGCCGCGGCAAUACGUAGGGGGCAAGCGUUAUCCGGAUUUACUGGGUGUAAAGGGCGUGUAGGCGGGAAAGCAAGUCAGAUGUGAAAACCAUGGGCUCAACCUGUGGCCUGCAUUUGAAACUGUUUUUCUUGAGUACUGGAGAGGCAGGCGGAAUUCCUAGUGUAGCGGUGAAAUGCGUAGAUAUUAGGAGGAACACCAGUGGCGAAGGCGGUCUGCUGGACAGCAACUGACGCUGAGGCGCGAAAGCGUGGGGAGCAAACAGGAUUAGAUACCCUAGUAGUC